rnacentral:rRNA from 1 species
AUUGUGAAAGCUCGGGGCUUAACCCCGAGUCUGCAGUCGAUACGGGCUAGCUAGAGUGUGGUAGGGGAGAUCGGAAUUCCUGGUGUAGCGGUGAAAUGCGCAGAUAUCAGGAGGAACACCGGUGGCGAAGGCGGAUCUCUGGGCCAUUACUGACGCUGAGGAGCGAAAGCGUGGGGAGCGAACAGGAUUAGAUACCCUGGUAGUCCACGCCGUAAACGGUGGGAACUAGGUGUUGGCGACAUUCCACGUCGUCGGUGCCGCAGCUAACGCAUUAAGUUCCCCGCCUGGGGAGUACGGCCGCAAGGCUAAAACUCAAAGGAAUUGACGGGGGCCCGCACAAGCAGCGGAGCAUGUGGCUUAAUUCGACGCAACGCGAAGAACCUUACCAAGGCUUGACAUACACCGGAAAGCAUUAGAGAUAGUGCCCCCCUUGUGGUCGGUGUACAGGUGGUGCAUGGCUGUCGUCAGCUCGUGUCGUGAGAUGUUGGGUUAAGUCCCGCAACGAGCGCAACCCUUGUUCUGUGUUGCCAGCAUGCCCUUCGGGGUGAUGGGGACUCACAGGAGACCGCCGGGGUCAACUCGGAGGAAGGUGGGGACGACGUCAAGUCAUCAUGCCCCUUAUGUCUUGGGCUGCACACGUGCUACAAUGGCCGAUACAAUGAGCUGCGAUACCGCAGGGUGGAGCGAAUCUCAAAAAGUCGGUCUCAGUUCGGAUUGGGGUCUGCAACUCGACCCCAUGAAGUUGGAGUUGCUAGUAAUCGCAGAUCAGCAUUGCUGCGGUGAAUACGUUCCCGGGCCUUGUACACACCGCCCGUCACGUCACGAAAGUCGGUAACACCCGAAGCCGGUGGCCCAACCCCUUGUGGGAGGGAGCUGUCGAAAGUGGGACUGGCGAUUGGGACGAAAUCGUAACAAGGUA